UUGAAGAGGUGACUGACAGCGAUUUACCAAUGGAACCGCUGCAUCACCCUGUUAGAUCGCCACCCGGCGCUGAAGUGGCAGCUGCGAGUGCUUCAAGUGGCGGAGCGCAGAUCUGUCCGGUGUCGGCGGUAGGAUAAGCAGGGAGUGGAGAUAAGCCAGAGGCUUCAGAAAACUCCAUGGAGCAGAUUGAUUCAAAGACGCCUGGGUGUACACGAAGAGUCAGGAUCGGAGCUGCUGUGCCAAGUCGUGCCCCAUGCCCAGGUAGGAUCACAACAUUGGAGAAAUCAGUCCGCGCCUUUGCCGAGGCCCCUGGGGAGAAUGUCAUUGUACCGAAAUUAGGGGUCACUUUUGAUACCUGUAUUCAUGGGAGAAAGGAUUUGGAAUUCGAUGUGGGAAGAGUAGGCUAAAUGUCAAUCGGACAAAAUGCAUGCAGGAGAUAGGGUGUGGUUGUGCGGCAAAGCCAAUAGUGGAGAAUACUUCAUCCUGCCGGUGUGAACGUCCUGCUCUCUUAACUGAAAUUCGGGAUGUGGGGGCUGGUAGCGCCUGUCCUUCAUUGGCACGGACAAGUGUUCAGCGUCUUGUGGUGAUACUUGUUGAGCCGCGACAUCACAACUGCCUGAGUCGGACAUGAUUACAGCCUGUAGAUAAUGUUGUCAGUGCUUAAGCAAUGUAGUAUCACAUAGCGUGCGGUCCCUAUGUCCAGUGAUAUCAGACAUGCAAAAUGCUAUGCUUGAUGUGUACGUAGGC